UUUCUCCUUAUUAAUUUAAAUUUGCUAAAUUCUCUAGAUCCGGUUAGCCUAUUAUACCAGCCACUAAAUAUGAAGGCUUAUCCAAUCCGAGUAGGAGACCUUUGAAGCAAAUAAUAGUUUGAAGGCUCAGAGUACCUGGCCCUAUUGCGAAGGUCUUUAAACUGAUUAAUUCAUGACAUGCUCGUGGCAACCCUUAUGACUGAAGGAUAUGUUUUUCUGCUUCUGAAGAUCAUCACUUUGCUGUUGAACUUGGGAGCCGUUGAAGCUUGAAAUUUGUUAGAAUUGGAAAGCUCACUUUUUUCCCCGAUAUAUUGGAAAACUCACUUUGAGUGCGGUGCUUGCUUGUAUUCCUUUGAUGAAGUGAUUUAGGAUUCUGAUUGAAUUUUUAGAUAUAAAAUAAAUCAUGUUAAAGCUGUAGGAAAGAAGAGAUUGCAUAAGCAACACCUUCCCAUUGCAAUUCAAAUAUAUAUUUUGCAGUUAUACAUA